CACAAAGUGGGUCACUUCUACUGUGGAAAUCAGAAGGGUUUGUCUUUGUGAUGGAUGGAGAGGUUUUGUUAUUGUUUAGAGCCACCCAUGUAUAAAGGGAAAGCAAGUGAAAUGGGCAACGGGGGGCUGGGGGUUGUUCAAACUGUUAUUUUGGUUGGUGUUGCAUGCGCUCAAAAGGUCCGUCUUGCUCUUCGGGUCCAUUGAAUGAUUCAAAAAUCCUAAUGUUGAUGGAGCAUUUGCACCUGAGGAAGCAAUGGCCAUGAUCUUACAUCUUCUGAAUGAGACACCAGGAGUAGUAGUAUGAAUCCAGUCAAUUCUACUAUGCAAGAAUGCCAUAGUGUAGCCAAACGACAGAGAUAGUACUUUUUCACAACAGUGAUAUUGUGGUCAAGUUUUUGAUAAGACUGUUUAUAUGACCAGGUGACACCUUAAGAUCAGAAGUGAAUUAUAGCAGUAUUGUUUUUGCAGUCAACCUCAUAAACAGGGUGUUCGCACUGUUAGGGCCUGAGGCUAUUGGCCUCUUACUUGGAAAUGAAACCCCAAAUUGGUAGCCUCAUAACUGCAAUUUGGUAUUAUGCUGUUUCCUGUGAAAGCCUCUAUAUCAAGGAAGCUGGUACUGAAGAAGAUGAUUUAUUUUUAAGGAGGGCCAGACAUGCAUGUGGCUUAUCAAACUGACUGUGCUUUGCUGCGCUGGGAACAGACAGUACCACUGCUAGAAAAUAUACACCUGCUGCUAUUGCACACCACCACAAUGAUUUCCAGAACAAAUGAAGUGGUGGAUUCUUCAAAUGUGGAUGGUUAUUCAAAAACAGCAACUGAAACAGAGCAAAGCAUGCUGGAAUAAAAUAAUGCGGUGACUGCUUCAACUGUGGAUGAUUAUUCAGCAAUAGCAACUGAAACAGGUAAAAAUGUAGGGUAUCUCUAUUCUAUUACAUAACUGAAAAGUCAGUAGCCAAAGG